GACGAACGCUGGCGGCGUGCUUAACACAUGCAAGUCGAACGGAAAGGCCCUGCUUUUGUGGGGUGCUCGAGUGGCGAACGGGGGAGUAACACGUGAGUAACCUGCCCUUGACUUUCGGAUAACUUCAGGAAACUCGGGCUAAAACCCCAUAGGAGCUCCUGCAGCAUGGUGGGGGUUGGAAAGUUUCGGCGGUUGGGGAUGGACUCGCGGCUUAUCAGCUUGUUGGGGGGGUAGUGGCUUACCAAGGCUUUGACGGGUAGCCGGCCUGAGAGCGUGACCGGCGACCUUGGGACUGCGAUACGGACCAGACUGCUACGGGAGGCAGUAGUGGGGAACAUUGCACAAUGGGCCGAAGUCUGAUGAAGCAAUCUCGGGUGCGGAAUGACCGCCUUCGGGUUGUAAACCGCUUUGGCCUGUGACGAAGCGUGAGUGACGGUAAUUGGUAAAAAAGCAACGGCUAACUACGUG
rnacentral:rRNA from 1 species